rnacentral:tRNA from 1 species
UCCUCAAUGACUUAGUAGAUAAAGAAUCUGCCUGCAAUGCAGGAGACACAGGUUCAAUCCCUGGGUCAGGAA